rnacentral:misc_RNA from 1 species
GAUGAAGAACGUAGCGAAAUGCGAUAAGUAAUGUGAAUUGCAGAAUUCAGUGAAUCAUCGAAUCUUUGAACGCACAUUGCGCCCGUCAGUAUUCUGGCGGGCAUGCCUGUUCGAGCGUCAUUACGCCCCUCAAGUCCCCUGUGGACUUGGUGUUGGGGAUCGGCGAGGCUGGUUUUCCAGCACAGCCGUCCCUUAAAUUAAUUGGCGGUCUCGCCGUGGCCCUCCUCUGCGCAGUAGUAAAACACUCGCAACAGGAGCCCGGCGCGGUCCACUGCCGUAAAACCCCCCAACUUUUUAUAGUUGACCUCGAAUCAGGUAGGACUACCCGCUGAACUUAAGCAUAUCAAAAAGCGGAGGA